ensembl:lncRNA
CACCCGUCCCCUCCCCCCCCUCCCCCCCCUGCCUCUCUGUUCCCCUCCAUCACCUCCUGGGUAAUGACAGGGGGGACAGGUGGAGACCAGACCAUCUCAACCACCAGUCUGUGUGUGCGUGAGUGUUUGUCUGUGUCAUUUACACACACACACACACACACACACGCGCGCGCGCACACAGAUGGUGGACAGGGGUCCCUGCCGGCCGGCCUGUCUGUCGAGUGAUGGGGUGUUGUUGUUGUUGAGUGCACUCAGCCACACAUGAUUAGCUAGACAAACACACACAGUCUCACACACACAGGCACACACACACACACACACACGUAUUACCUUCUACGUAGCACAUAUGGGGCUCAGCACCAAAACAAGUCACCUGCUAUUCCAGUCACACACACACACACACACACACACACACACACAGACACACACACACACAGGACAGAAAGAGGAUCAAAGCACGGUGGGACGGAUUAUUCAUCGUUUCGUCAUAUGUGUGUGUGUUUCAUGAAGCGUUGUUACAGGCCUGUAUUAUACCGAGGUCGUGUGUGUCUCUCUCUCUCUCUCUCUCACAGAACACUGUUUUAUGGACUGAGUGAGAAUGUUGAUUGGUCCUAAUUAAACAGGGAGAAUGUAAAUGAGGCUGCUGCAGUCAGACUGCUCCUGUGCGCUGAUUCCAUUUCACCAACCCAACAGCCUACAGGCUUUCUGAUUGGCCGUUUACAAAUGUGCAUAAUGAAAAGACCGUAGUCCUGGCGGAGCUCAGUCGGUAAAAUACAAGUCCCACAAAACUGUGAUCUCCUGGGUGACGGUUCUGUUUGUUUCAGCCGUCCAUCAUGCAUGUUAUUCGACGUCAGACUGUUGUUGUCAUUUGAAAGUAUGUUUAGGCCGCAUGCAGAUGCUAACGGGGGCCUCGGCACGCCGAGGGGCACUGAGCCGGGGGCGGGUCGCUUUGUGUGGACAGGAAGGGAAAAGGACCUCAUCACAUGACGGAGGAGUUGAACCGUCGGUGAUUGUAGAAGAUAUUUUCUACAUUUCGUCAUUCUUUUGAGGGCGACCACGGGAAAGGCCACGGGCGGCUUUUUGACCUUCAUACAACAACAACAACAACAACAACCAUGCGGGGGCUGACGGAGCGAUGAUGGAGAGUGAUGACGAUACACUUCUGUGUGUCUGCUCUCCGCUCCGUGGAUCACAUCAAAUGCCUUCUCACGAGCACCUGCUCACCGAGCAGCGCGCUGCAGCGUCGCCUCCACGUCAAAGCUGUCGUCACACGGAGGCUGAGUAAUAACGCACGUCUCCCCACAGCCGGCGAGAGAUCGGAGCGGCGAUGGAAGGGGAAGCCUGAACUCUGAAAUAAAUCUGAGCAUCAUUUCAAGAGCAACGUCGCCAAAUUCCACUCCAAUCCGGCACGGUUCCAGGAACAGCACUCUCCUCUGUACCUCUGUGUGUGGGGGGGGCUGUGAAAGGUGUACCAGCUGCUGCCCAUGAUCCUCUUCUGGGCCUGUAAAUAAUGCACAACUCACAUUUUCAUACCACUUUCUCAUACGCCAAACAUACACAACACUAUAGUGUAGUAAAAAUAGAAGCGCCGACGUUUGCUCCAGUGUUUGCACCGUUGUGACCCUCCCCACUUCCUCUCCCUCCCUCCCUCCCUCCUGACAGUGGGGUUAUUAGUCUCAUUCAUCUCGGCGUGUUCGCUCAAUCCUCAGCGGCAGCCUGCAGAGCAGAAACAAGAGGAGAGGUUGCCGGGGCCGGACUUGGAGCAGGGAGAGGGAUCCUCAGGUAGCACCCGGAUGCUCCAUCUCCAUAUCUUUAUUAUGAGCCUCUUAAAAAUAGCGCUGCUUAGGCCUCUCUCCGCCUCUCGCCUCCCACUCCUCCUCUAAAAUGCACUCAGUGUGCGCUCUGGGGAAAUGAGGAGGCUGCUCUGCUCAGACGGUACAUGUAGAAACUGGGAUGCACAGGCAGGAAAAAUAAGAUGCCUGCUCCUGCUCUGUGGAUGCAAAGCAGUGAUAAAGCUGCUCGUCGGUACAGAAAUGAACUCACAGGCUCCGUAAGACAACAACUGCUUUAUUUGUUUUGGGAUUUUUAGCAUGAUUGGAUGUGCUUUAAUGUCAGGGAUUAUAUAUACAUAACUCAACAGGGCAGGCUUAAGCCAAUUGUCAAGAUAUGGAUUUUGUAAAAGACAAAUAUUCCAUUUAAAAGAGUGUCGACACUCUUUUGUUAUCACUUAAUCCGUACCACAUAGUAGACUAAAUUAAUUAAACUGUGCAUCCACUAGCAUUGCAUCCACCAGCGUUGCAUCCACCAGCGUUGCAUCCACCAGCGUUGCAUUGGCACUUACCUAUUACCUGUAGCACUUUCGCAGUUUGGCUACAUCAAAUAAUUUGUACUUCUUGUUGUUCUGGUUCUGUUCCCUCUUGAUUGAAUGCACUUAUUGUACGUCGCUUUGUACAAAAGCGUCAGCUAAAUGAAAAUGCAUCCAAGGCCAAUAGUUAGCAUUUCAUUAGCUAACUUACUAUGUACACUGGGUAGUAGAUUAAGUUGGAAUCCAACUAAACAGCAUUCUCAAGCAACGUUUCUUCUUUUUUUUCAGAUUGCAGUUGCUAAUUUAAACAAAAACACAACAAAACAUCGGGGUUUUGAUUUACAUCAGUGAUGUUAGUGAUGUUUGUGAUCUCCCUCAACCUGUCAGUGGUGUUGUUGCCCAAAUCUAACUGCAGCCCCUGUGUAUAUUGACGUUAUGUUAAAUUGCACUUAAAUGCAUAAUGAUGACAGCUACUUACAUGCACACCUCUACAUGCGUGGUAAAAUAAAGGGGGGUGGGGGACUUAGUGCAGGUUUUCCUUUAACGCUUCUAUCUACAUCCUCCAUGGAUACUAACUUACUCAUAACGUCCCUACCAACGGACUGAGCUGGAUCCACCUCGCACCUCUGACUUUGAAAGCAUAAAUAAUGAGCCGCUUGUACUACGAAUGGGAUACAGCAGCUGUCGCGCAGCAGGGAACACCGUUCUAGUUAGUGAACACCAGCAGCAGAAAAUCCCUCUGUUGAUAAAGGUCUCGACUAGCCUCUUGUCGUGUCUCCUCUUCCUCUCUAUUAAAGGGCACAGUGGAAACAAGGAGAAGAUAGAUGGAGCCGACAACACAAUAGUGUAGAGGUGUUUGAAGACGGUCCUCCCACACAGGAAUCCUUCACACACACACACACACACACACACACACACACACACACACAGUGGAUGUGGGGCUGACAAAGAGAGAAACUGUGACUUCAGGUAUGUGGGUGGGAGUUGAGUGGAUGUGUGCUGUGCAGACAGUGGAGUGUUAACACCAAAGCCUCCGUCAGGCUGACACUGUUUAAACGCACCAGCCAGAGAGAGACAGAGACAGACAGACUGAUCUAUGGGACAAAGACCCACAUUUCACGGUUUGCUGCCCUUCAAGGUGAAACAUUUUGAAAAGAUGUACAGCGUGUCAAAUAUGCUUACGGUCGGUGUGUUAGACACCGCUGAGUAGUGGUUUUGUCACCGUCACUGAAUCAACUGCACUGAUUUAUUUUGGCUCAAUUUUAGGUUAUUUAUUAAUGACUUGAACGUUUUGUAUUUAGGUUACACAAAUUGGUUCAUAUUAUAUAUCCUAUUACAUAAGUUGCUCCUCCUUCUUCGGCGUGUUCCUAAGGAAACGCCAACACGGGUUCAUUUCUGCUCCUUGCAAGACUAAACAACUCAUUAGGCUUUGGAAAAGGUGGUGAACCAUUUAGUGAGGGUUAGGAAACAGAAUUAUUUAUUGAUGUGGUUUAUAUUUAAAAUAAUUUUGUGUAAUUUAAUUACAAUUUACCGCAAAUUCUUUUUCUGAGGUAAAAGUGCAAUGCUGGAUAAGACCAGCCUGUUGUGAGCUCAUUUUCCAGGCAGUGUGUUUGGCUUUAAUUCAGUCCAAGUUUUUAAUUUAAUAGGUAACGUUGAGAUAUUUUAGUUAAAAAAGUAAUUUUCCAAAUUUAACAAAUUGUUCAGCAAUAUCACAGCCACAGAACUGUGAGGGCAAAUUAUGCUUCCCAUUAUAAUUGUAAAGGUCUGUGAGACGUAAAGUCCAGAAAUGUACGUAACUUCAAACCUAUUAAGAAAAUUCCACUUUGUGAGUGCUUCUGCACAUUAAUGUGCUGUCUGGGACGUCCACCAACCCCCAAACGCUGGAAAGAAACCACUUGUGCGUUUUCUUGUGAUUCCUGUAAGGAAUAAGUACUAAUUAAAACAACCUGUUUGGAGUCUCUCCUACACGGCCUUGGCCCCCCAUCACAUCCCCCCAACACGCCGAAGCCCUCAACCCCCAGAAUGCGCUGUGUGGUCGCCUGCACAACUCCCAAAAUGAUUAUUUGAGUAACUGAACUUUAAAGAGAUUUGUUAAGCCCAAUUGUGCGGCGUAGUGUACAAUGUACUGGGAAGAUUCCACAAGACAAUACUGCAUCCGGCAAUAAACCGACCUCCACUACGCAGAGGAAUGGGUUGUAACGAUAACUUUAAACCUCAUAUUUAUAGACUCCUCUAUUGUCUCCAUGAAAGCCAUGUAAAGAAACUAUUCAAGUAUAAAAUGCAUAAUAAGGAAACAAAGGUUGAAUGUUUUAUUCGACCGCUAUUUUUACUGGAAUAGAAACAGACGUCCUGUUUCUAAGCACCUUCAGAUAAAGCAUGCUUGAUUUAAACUAAGGUGAGUAAAGUUCACCUCCGCCCGUUGGAAAAAGGGAAAUGUUAAGCAGAAAACAAGCCCGGCGUGACGGAUCCGAGUCCGUGGCUCUAUUUGAAAGGACGGCAGAACAAAAGCAAAUCAGCUGAAAGAAAACAGAGCCGUGACACGCUGAAACAUGCCGAUACGUAACGCGCUGAAGGAAUCAAAGAGUCGUUUUCGGACCCUUUGUGAAUAUGAAGCGUAUCGCAGACAGUCUGUCACACCUUCUUCUUUGACCAUUUUCUGUGGCAGGUUUUUUAAAUUACCCCCCAGGACACCCUGCGGUCUCCUCAGCUUUUCAAAGAGCCUUUAGUUUGUCAUUUGAUUCCCUGUUCUCCCUUUUCUUUAGACGCGUCUGUUUCCUGCAGAGCACGCUGGCAGCUGAACGGGACUGUUGGAGGAGUCCGUCGUUAUUCAAUGGGGAGAGGAGACGGAGGAAGGAAGAAAGCAAACGAGAAGAGGAGACAAGGAUAGACAGUGGACAGGGAGGGAGGGGCGAUAAAGUACAGGCAGGAAAUGAAACAAGGAGAAAGGGGGAAAGGAGCAGAGAGAAAAUAAUUAGAGAAUGAACAGAUGAUCAGGAGGCAGGGGAGGAGGGAGAAGGAGAAGAUCACUACAAGCACAUGAAAGAGAAGAAGAAGAAAAGAGGAUCGGAGGAUGAGAGGCCGGUCGCUCUGUACCACGG